GACGAGCCACACGAACGUUAUUCGGAAUUACUGGGCUUAAAGGGUGCGUAGGCUGCGCGGAAAGUUGGGUGUGAAAUCCCUCGGCUCAACCGAGGAACUGCGCCCAAAACUACCGUGCUCGAGGAAGAUAGAGGUAAGCGGAACUUACGGUGGAGCGGUGAAAUGCGUUGAUAUCGUAAGGAACACCUGUGGCGAAAGCGGCUUACUGGGUCUUUUCUGACGCUGAUGCACGAAAGCUAGGGGAGCAAAC
rnacentral:rRNA from 1 species